rnacentral:rRNA from 1 species
UGCAGUCGAACGAUGAAGCCAGCUUGCUGGUGGAUUAGUGGCGAACGGGUGAGUAACACGUGAGUAACCUGCCCUUAACUCUGGGAUAAGCCUGGGAAACUGGGUCUAAUACCGGAUAUGACUCCUCAUCGCAUGGUGGGGGGUGGAAAGCUUUAUUGUGGUUUUGGAUGGACUCGCGGCCUAUCAGCUUGUUGGUGAGGUAAUGGCUCACCAAGGCGACGACGGGUAGCCGGCCUGAGAGGGUGACCGGCCACACUGGGACUGAGACACGGCCCAGACUCCUACGGGAGGCAGCAGUGGGGAAUAUUGCACAAUGGGCGGAAGCCUGAUGCAGCGACGCCGCGUGAGGGAUGACGGCCUUCGGGUUGUAAACCUCUUUCAGUAGGGAAGAAGCGAAAGUGACGGUACCUGCAGAAGAAGCGCCGGCUAACUACGUGCCAGCAGCCGCGGUAAUACGUAGGGCGCAAGCGUUAUCCGGAAUUAUUGGGCGUAAAGAGCUCGUAGGCGGUUUGUCGCGUCUGCCGUGAAAGUCCGGGGCUCAACUCCGGAUCUGCGGUGGGUACGGGCAGACUAGAGUGAUGUAGGGGAGACUGGAAUUCCUGGUGUAGCGGUGAAAUGCGCAGAUAUCAGGAGGAACACCGAUGGCGAAGGCAGGUCUCUGGGCAUUAACUGACGCUGAGGAGCGAAAGCAUGGGGAGCGAACAGGAUUAGAUACCCUGGUAGUCCAUGCCGUAAACGUUGGGCACUAGGUGUGGGGGACAUUCCACGUUUUCCGCGCCGUAGCUAACGCAUUAAGUGCCCCGCCUGGGGAGUACGGCCGCAAGGCUAAAACUCACAGGAAUUGACGGGGGCCCGCACAAGCGGCGGAGCAUGCGGAUUAAUUCGAUGCAACGCGAAGAACCUUACCAAGGCUUGACAUGAACCGGUAAGACCUGGAAACAGGUCCCCCACUUGUGGCCGGUUUACAGGUGGUGCAUGGUUGUCGUCAGCUCCUGUCGUGA